rnacentral:rRNA from 1 species
AGAGUUUGAUCAUGGCUCAGAUUGAACGCUGGCGGAAUGCUUUACACAUGCAAGUCGAACGGCAGCACGGGUGCUUGCACCUGGUGGCGAGUGGCGAACGGGUGAGUAAUGCGUCGGAACGUACCGAGUAAUGGGGGAUAACGCGGCGAAAGUCGCGCUAAUACCGCAUACGCCCUGAGGGGGAAAGUGGGGGAUCGCAAGACCUCACGUUAUUCGAGCGGCCGACGUCUGAUUAGCUAGUUGGUGGGGUAAAGGCCUACCAAGGCGACGAUCAGUAGCGGGUCUGAGAGGAUGAUCCGUCACACUGGGACUGAGACACGGCCCAGACUCCUACGGGAGGCAGCAGUGGGGAAUUUUGGACAAUGGGGCAACCCUGAUCCAGCCAUUCCGCGUGAGUGAAGAAGGCCUUCGGGUUGUAAAGCUCUUUCAGCUGGAACGAAACGGUACGCUCUAACAUAGCGUGCUAAUGACGGUACCGGCAGAAGAAGCACCGGCUAACUACGUGCCAGCAGCCGCGGUAAUACGUAGGGUGCGAGCGUUAAUCGGAAUUACUGGGCGUAAAGCGUGCGCAGGCGGAUUGUUAAGCAAGACGUGAAAGCCCCGGGCUUAACCUGGGAAUGGCGUUUUGAACUGGCAGUCUAGAGUGCGUCAGAGGGGGGUGGAAUUCCACGUGUAGCAGUGAAAUGCGUAGAGAUGUGGAGGAACACCAAUGGCGAAGGCAGCCCCCUGGGAUGACACUGACGCUCAUGUACGAAAGCGUGGGUAGCAAACAGGAUUAGAUACCCUGGUAGUCCACGCCCUAAACGAUGUCAACUGGUUGUUGGGGGAGUGAAAUCCCUUAGUAACGAAGCUAACGCGUGAAGUUGACCGCCUGGGGAGUACGGUCGCAAGAUUAAAACUCAAA